CAAGAUGGUGGUAAGUUUUGAUGGUUUUUACCUUAAAGUUAGGUUUCUUAUGAAAGUUGUCUUUCUCAGUCUUCUCGAGUUUUGAAGAUGAUGAUGAUAGUGUAUUCACAUCGAGCCCUGUGUUUUACUUCGAAGAUGCGCCUGAGUCGCCACCACCAAGCUAUGAAUCAGUUUUUGUGGUAGUGAAUGAAAAUAAUCACAGGGUACCACCACCAGAAAACGAUCACAGGGUUCCACCACCAGACAAUACUCACUGGAUACCACCACCUGACAACUACCCUGGCCCCCCUAUGCAGUGUAUGUAUUAGUGAACAUUCUCUUUCAGGAUAUAGUGUUCCAAUGACAUAUCAUUUUAUGUAGAUGAUAUUAAUAGUUGUUGUAUUUGUUUUUUUUUGUUUUUUUUUGUUUGUUUGUUUUUGUUUUUUUUUUUUUUUCAGAUUACCCCGGCCCCCCUAUGCAUCGUAUGUAUAAGUGAAUGUUCUCUUUCAGGAUAUAGAGUUCCAGUGGCAUAUCAUUUUUAUGUAGCCGAUAUUAAUAGUUGUUGUAUUUGUUUUCAGGUUACCCUGGCCCCCCUAUGCAUCAUAUAUAUAAGUGAAUGUUCUCUUUCAGGAUAUAGAGUUCCUGUGGCAUAUGGUUUUUAUGUAGCCGAUAUUAAUAGUUGUUGUAUUUGUUUUCAGGUUACCCUGGCCCCCCUAUGCAUCGUAUAUAUAAGUGAAUGUUCUCUUUCAGGAUAUAGAGUUCCUGUGGCAUAUGGUUUUUAUGUAGCCGAUAUUAAUAGUUGUUGUAUUUGUUUUCAGGUUACCCUGGCCCCCCUAUGCAUCGUAUAUAUAAGUGAAUGUUCUCUUUCAGGAGUUCCUGUGGCAUAUGGUUUUUAUGUAGCCGAUAUUAAUAGUUGUUGUAUUUGUUUUCAGAUUACCCUGGCCCCCCUAUGCAGUACUACCCUGGCCACCCUAUGCAGUAUUACCCUGGCCCUCCUAUGCAGCAUCAUUGCUGCUACUGUUGCAGUGAGUCAUCUGGUUGGGUGUGAAGGUUUUUCCGCUUGGGUUUUCUCCAUCACGCAGAUUGGCAACACAAUUGACAAUUCCCAGCACCAUUGGCUUUAAUUGGCAUUACUAAGCAUCAUUGGCUUUAAUUGACAUUAAUAAAAUAUUUUUCACUUG